CACUGAAAGACACACGCACAUACAACACGCAUCAUCAGUCGCACCUAGGCACAGCACCUCACCACCUCGAACACCUCUUCUCGCUUCUGAACUCCUUGCUUCGUCGCGCGACGCGGCACCGUGUCAAUGUAUGCCGUCAGCGUUUCACUCGGCGCGUCGAGUAGCUACGUCGCCGUCGCGCCAGUGAGCAGCAACACCGGCACGGCUGCGGUGUCCGACGCGGUUCCCAUCAAGGUCGUUGCCAACUCCAGUGGCCAUCGCAAUACCCCUGUCGUGGCGGCGUUGACAGAGCAGGAGUUGCUCUUUGGCGACAACGCGCUCCACCAGUACUCGCGUCAGCCUCAGAACGUUGUGCCUUACUUGUUCACCUACGCCGCCGCUGCCGCCUCGAUAGCGGAUGCGCAACAUGUGCUGGGAACAGUGUCAGAACACGCAGCGGAGUCGGAGGAGACCACGUCGGGUCUGCUGCGGGUCGUUGAGGCCGCGGCGAAUCAGAAGUACAAGGGCCACUGCCGGCUCACCCAGGUUGCCUCUGGUACGCGGCAGCUCGGGUUCCAGUACGCGUCAGAGCCAGACGGCGAGCUGGUGGAGAGCUUCAUCUCUGCUGAGGAUCUUUUUAUUCGCUUCUUAAACUACAUCAAGGAGCACACCAUAGACGGCGCGUGUGGACUGACGGCGACAACCGGCCGCGACAAAGCCACGUCGAGCUCGGCAAAGCUCUUUUUGACGCUCGUGGUGCCGCGCUACGCCUUUCCAGGUGCGGCCGACAGCGCCCAUGCCGCGCGCCGCGGCAGAACUGUGGAGUGGCUGAAGGAGGCGGUGCAGUCGUCGCAUCUCGGCGCCGUCGUGCUGAACACGAGUGUCGUCUUCAGUGAUGAGGCGGCGGUGACUGCGUACGAUGCCGCCACGCAGGAGCGCCGUGUGCCGCGCCUGCUCUCCACCGCACCGCACAAUGUGCUCGUGGUGGACUGGGGAGCUCAUGGCUUGUGCCUCUCUUUGCUGUGCUCCCGCGGUGGCAUUCUUGUCUGCCCUCCGCAGCACCACAACGUCCCCUACCGCUGCUUCACAAAGGGGAGCGCAGCUGUGGGUGAUGGCUACUUUGCCGUAGGCGCCGGCAGCGGCGGCGACGCGCUGGACGUGGCACUGGCAGAAAGGGUGGCAGCGCAGUACAUGACUCAGCAGCGGCGCCUCUUCGCGAGCCCGUCGCGCAACUUCAAUGCUCUCCUGCACCUCAACCACGCGCUGCCCACCAUCGGGUCGACCGAGCACCCGGCCACCAGACUCCUUCAUGAGGCGAUCCCGUCCCGGGCGAUGCGCCGUCUUGCCCUGCUGAUGGCGGAGAAGAAGGUCUCGCUCAACACAAACCCGCAAGCCACCUCCGUCUCGGUGGAGGCGGAGGCCUUCUACGAAGGAAUGGACCUGAUUGACACACAGACGCUGACGAAGAACAAGCUGGACAACGCCAUUCGGAGCGAGUGGGGACUGUUGGACAUGUUCAGCAAGGCCGUGCGCGCCUUUGCGGACAACUAUAAGGACACCUGGACUGAUGGUUUUGUGGAUACGGUCCUCCUCGCGGGCGGCAUGUGCCAGAUGCCCUCCUUGACAAAGCUGCUCGCCGCCUCUGUACAGUCACCCGAGCAGCGGUCGCUCUUCGCAGCUGCGGUACGCGUCUUGGACUCGAGCCUCAUGGGGAACGGCGUGUGCGCCGAUGAGCUGCUCUCUGUCGGCGGGUGCCACCAUAGCUGUCGCGUGGCUGAAUGCUACACGAUGCAGCGGCUCGCCACGUCCAGACAGUCGCGCAAGAGCGCUGGCAAGCUGCAGGCUGUCGUCGUCACGCAAGCCGCCGAGACGGCCACCAGCGUCUGGGAUGCCCUAACGAAAGGCGAUGAUGACGAAAGCAGUGACGUCGAGGAUUGCAAGCAGGAGGCGCUUAUGAGCGACCCCCACUCUGGCGUGUUCCUUGCUGGAAACGUGUACUUGUACGUCGGCGACACCACAGCGCUGACCUGCGCGGCGACCCAGCAGCUGCCUUGCGCCUCCCUGCGUGUGUUGCUGGCGCACUCGGCGGCACUGCCCUGCCGCGUCGCGAUUCCGUGGUCUCCGGCAUCUCCUGAGGCUCGAACAGUGCUUUACCUCUUCACAGAUGUGCACGGCGCACCAUCGACCGACUCGGCGGCCGACCUUGUGGAGGUGCGCCCAGUGAACAGCGCUGGCCUUGUUCUCCAUGCUGCCGCUGCCCUGGCGCGCGGUGGAGCACUUGGCCCCCUGUGCAUCACGUUCACGGCGCAGGCAAAGUGGAACGAGGCGUCGGAGAGGGAGGUGCAGGUGAGCGUGCAGCUGGUGCGCCUGCCCAGCGUCGGUGGUGCCGAUAUCGCGUCACUAGUGCUCACCCCUGGUGUCUUUUGCAGCUCGUAUGAGUUUGUCCUCCAAUGAAGUGGGUGGUGGUGGUGAUGAGGGGCCGGUGACUGGCGUGUGCGUGUCUGUGCCUCCUGGGAGGCCGCCGCGCGACACACUGCACUUGUGCACGCGGGUUGGGGGAGCUUGAACAGAUGACAAACCUUCUUGGGCGCGUGCUUGCGUGUUUGUGUUUGUGCGCGCCUGCUCUACGCAGCCUGUCCCUUGUUUGCUCGGCUUGCCUGUUUCUUUCCGACUCGCCCGGUAAAGUCAGCGUAAUGUGUGCCGAGUAAGGCUGCCGUGGUGGGGAGUCUUUGGUGUUCAUCAGUACUGUUCACAUACGCGCAAGACGCCGGUACAUAAGCACAGCUGCAAAUUGCCUCACAGCGGGCACGAAGCGUGAGAAGGGGGCACAGAUGCAAGUGGUCUUCGGACUCAGCAGGUUCUGGAGCUGCGGCAGAGCUUCAGGUCUUGCGUAUGCUGCCAGCUGUGCUCCGUUUGAGCACAUUCAGCCUCAUUUCCCUACAGGUGUCUCU
rnacentral:misc_RNA from 1 species